CUCAUACUUCCUCCGUCCAUCAAAGGAUGUCUCAACUUUGAUUAAAUUUGAAUGUAUCUAUACACUAAUCAUGUCUAGAUGCAUCCAGAUUUUGACAAACUUGAGAUAUCUUUUGUUGGUCGGAGGGAGUAGUUA
rfam:Brachypodium distachyon strain Bd21 chromosome 3, whole genome shotgun sequence.